UACAGAGGGUGCAAGCGUUGUUCGGAAUUAUUGGGCGUAAAGCGCGUGUAGGCGGCGACUGCAAGUCGGGUGUGAAAUCCCUCAGCUUAACUGAGGAAGUGCGCCCGAAACUGCAGCGCUUGAGUGCCGGAGAGGGUGGCGGAAUUCCCCAAGUAGAGGUGAAAUUCGUAGAUAUGGGGAGGAACACCGGUGGCGAAGGCGGCCACCUGGACGGUGACUGACGCUGAGACGCGAAAGCGUGGGGAGCAAACAGG
rnacentral:rRNA from 1 species